CGGGCCGGCCGGACGACCGCGGCGCACCGGGCGACCGAUGCGACGAGGAAGGUCCGGGCUCCACAGAGCAGGGUGGUGGGUAACGCCCACCCGGGGUGACCCGCGGGACAGUGCCACAGAGAACAGACCACCGCUCCCUCCAGGAGCGGCCAGGGUGAAACGGUGGAGUAAGAGCCCACCAGCGCUCCGGGCGACCGGAGCGGCUCGGCAAACCCCACCCGGAGCAAGAUCGGACAGCGCACGCUCGAGGGCUGCUCGCCCGAGUGCGCGGGUGGAUCGCUCGAGGCCGCCGGCAACGACGGCCCUAGAUGGAUGGUCGUCCUCGACAGAACCCGGCCUACAGGCCGACCCGUCCG
rnacentral:RNase_P_RNA from 1 species